CUACAAUAGUAUCUCAAUGAUACUAAAAUAAAUAUGCUAAAUUUAACAAGAAAACAUUUGUUGUGGGUGCAAGAAAACUUAAAAGUAUGGUUAUAUUAUAUUACGUGUGCUUUAUGUACAGUCGUUUGUCCAAUCAGAGGCGUCGCUCGGCGGCACGUGACCCGCGGCGGAAGUGCGCUCAGAGUGUCAGUGCGUCGUGCUUCUUUUACUGUCUUGAUCGUGCUCGAGUCACAUGAGCGCUGUUCACGUGAUGUUUGUGGAAACAGUUCCACAUUGAUCAGAUUCACCAGACGCUAAUAAAGAACACUCAGAACAUGAACGCGCUUUUGAGUCAGGAGGAAGAGAAAGAGAAAGAGGAAGAGGAGGAGGAGACAGAUGGUCGAGUGUCUACAGAUGGGUUUCUCUCUCAUUAUCUGCCGGAGCUGACGUAGCUAUGUCUGACACUACAUCCCAUAAUGCAAUGUGCUCGACUCCACCUUCCAUUUCCUGUGUGACAGGAAGUCUGUGAUUUUUGAAACUAAUGUUUGUGGGCACAUUGGGUUUGUAUAAUAAAACUUCCUCCAGUGAAAAGUGCAUCUCCUGUUGUUGAAGUGUUAUUAUGGAUUCUAGACUCUAUGUGUUUGAGUUAAAAUCAUCUUAAUGCUGGAUGUGUUUCAUCUUUUGUCUUCUCCAGAUGUUCACUGAUGGACUGGAGUGCUGUGUAUUAUUGUGUUUUUAUCAGCUGUUUGGACUCUUGUUCUGACGGCACCCAUUCCCUGCAGUGAUUGAGUGGAUGUUGGUGUUCGUGUAGAAGCAAGCGCUGAAGCUGCAGCAGCACAAGCAGAAGGAUGGUCAGAGACAAGGCUCCGCCCACCGCACAGAGACUCCAACCCUGACGUCUGUAAAACAGUCAGACACACUCUGAUGUUCGUCACAUUCAGGCAUGCACUGCGACUCUUGGUGGAAAUGUGCCAAACUCUUUAUUUUCAUCAUCAUCACAUGCAUUUCUGUCCAGAUAAAUAAGAAUAAUAAAGGAAUAAAACUCUAA